AUUGAACGCUAGCGGGAUGCUUUACACAUGCAAGUCGAACGAGUGGCGGCCUGGUGAGUAAUAUAUCGGAAAGUGCCCAAUCGCGGGGUCUAACUACUCUCAAGAUUGGCUAAUACCGCAUACUAUUGUAUCUGCCGAUAUCGGAUUAGCUAGUUGGUGGGGUAAAGGCUACCCAAGGCAACGAUCCGUAGCUGGUUUGAGAGGACGACCAGCCACACUGGGACUGAGACACGGCCCAGACUCCUACGGGAGGCAGCAGUGGGGAAUUUUGGACAAUGGGGGAAACCCUGAUCCAGCCAUCCCGCGUGUAUGAGAAGGCCUUCGGGUUGUAAAGUACUUUUGGCAGAGAAGCGGUAUCUGCAGAAUAAGCACCGGCUAACUACGUGCCAGCCGCCGCGGUAAUAC
rnacentral:rRNA from 1 species